rnacentral:rRNA from 1 species
AGUGAACGCUGGCGGUAGGCCUAACACAUGCAAGUCGAACGGCAGCACAGUAAGGGCUUGCUCUUACGGGUGGCGAGUGGCGGACGGGUGAGGAAUACAUCGGAAUCUACUUUUUCGUGGGGGAUAACGUAGGGAAACUUACGCUAAUACCGCAUACGACCUACGGGUGAAAGCAGGGGAUCUUCGGACCUUGCGCGAUUGAAUGAGCCGAUGUCGGAUUAGCUAGUUGGCGGGGUAAAGGCCCACCAAGGCGACGAUCCGUAGCUGGUCUGAGAGGAUGAUCAGCCACACUGGAACUGAGACACGGUCCAGACUCCUACGGGAGGCAGCAGUGGGGAAUAUUGGACAAUGGGCGCAAGCCUGAUCCAGCCAUACCACGUGGGUGAAGAAGGCCUUCGGGUUGUAAAGCCCUUUUGUUGGGAAAGAAAAGCAGCAGGUUAAUACCCCGCUGUUCUGACGGUACCCAAAGAAUAAGCACCGGCUAACUUCGUG